GACGAACGCUGGCGGCGUGCUUAAUACAUGCAAGUCAACUUGACUUUAGAUAGCAAUAUCGAAAGGUAGGGUGGCGCACGGGUGCGUAACGCGUAGGUAAUCUGCCCUGAGGUCUGACAUAACCCGUCGAAAGGCGGGCUAACAUCAGAUGAUAUAUAAUCACGACAUUCGUGGAAAAUAUCAAAUCUUCGGAGCCUUGGGAUGAGCCUGCGUCUGAUUAGGGUAGUUGGCGGAGUAAUAGCCCACCAAGCCUACGAUCAGUAGCUGGUCUGAGAGGAUGAUCAGCCACACUGGAACUGAGACACGGUCCAGACUCCUACGGGAGGCAGCAGUAAGGAUAUUGCUCAAUGGGGAAACCCUGAAGCAGCAACG
rnacentral:rRNA from 1 species